AUUGAACGCUGGCGGCAGGCCUAACACAUGCAAGUCGAGCGGAUGAAGGGAGCUUGCUCCUGGAUUCAGCGGCGGACGGGUGAGUAAUGCCUAGGAAUCUGCCUGGUAGUGGGGGAUAACGUCCGGAAACGGGCGCUAAUACCGCAUACGUCCUGAGGGAGAAAGUGGGGGAUCUUCGGACCUCACGCUAUCAGAUGAGCCUAGGUCGGAUUAGCUAGUUGGUGGGGUAAAGGCCUACCAAGGCGACGAUCCGUAACUGGUCUGAGAGGAUGAUCAGUCACACUGGAACUGAGACACGGUCCAGACUCCUACGGGAGGCAGCAGUGGGGAAUAUUGGACAAUGGGCGAAAGCCUGAUCCAGCCAUGCCGCGUGUGUGAAGAAGGUCUUCGGAUUGUAAAGCACUUUAAGUUGGGAGGAAGGGCAGUAAGUUAAUACCUUGCUGUUUUGACGUUACCAACAGAAUAAGCACCGGCUAACUUCGUGCCAGCAGCCGCGGUAAUACGAAGGGUGCAAGCGUUAAUCGGAAUUACUGGGCGUAAAGCGCGCGUAGGUGGUUCAGCAAGUUGGAUGUGAAAUCCCCGGGCUCAACCUGGGAACUGCAUCCAAAACUACUGAGCUAGAGUACGGUAGAGGGUGGUGGAAUUUCCUGUGUAGCGGUGAAAUGCGUAGAUAUAGGAAGGAACACCAGUGGCGAAGGCGACCACCUGGACUGAUACUGACACUGAGGUGCGAAAGCGUGGGGAGCAAACAGGAUUAGAUACCCUGGUAGUCCACGCCGUAAACGAUGUCGACUAGCCGUUGGGAUCCUUGAGAUCUUAGUGGCGCAGCUAACGCGAUAAGUCGACCGCCUGGGGAGUACGGCCGCAGGUUA
rnacentral:rRNA from 1 species